GCCAGGAUUUUUAGUUGUACUGUGUGUGUGCUAGAGUCACUAUCAAAUUGCUAAAGGAGAAGAAUGUUGAGACAACACAGUAACUGACAGUGAUGUGUCACACAGUUUAUUAUGAAGCAAUGAGGCACACUUCAGAUACUGCCACCAGCCAGAGGGAGUCUCUUAGGGCCACUGGGAGGUUGUACCCCAUGGCAAGAGCGAGAACCACGUACACUGGCAAGAAAAGGAGCAGUUGUUCCAAGGCUCUUUCGGCCCUCUUCGCAUGUCAUGGCCCAAUUCAAGGUGCUGGGUGCUACCUCUAAAGCCCUAAAUGGCUUGGGGCCAGAAUAUCUGAAAGACUGUCUUCUCCUGCAGGAACCUGCCUGUCAGUUAUGGUCAUCACCAGAGCCCUUGAUCCUUCUUCUACUUUAAAGUUCACCAGGCCCAGAAAUUGGAGAACUAAUCUAUAAUCUAUGGGAGCUGAUGAUAACUGCUGCAAUAGGAAAUAGAUACGAUCCUUUUUCUACAAGGCAGCAUCUUCCUUGAAAAAAAGGCAUGGAAUAUGAACAUUAUCUGUAGAAAAAGAGCCAUAAUACCUGCCACAAGAAAUGGCCAUUCAGUACUAUGAUUUUCCUCAAACCAGCCAGCUUAACAUCACCAGAUGACUCCUCCUCAAACUGUUCCUUUCAAAAACCCAAUAUCCAUUGUAACUGUGAUUGUCAAAAAGCACAAGCACAACUCUAGGGAUCAUAAGUAGCCUAUCUAAUUA